UCUUCCGAUCCCCCUGAUUUGUCCAUUUGUACAAAGCUUGCUCCUAAUUAGUGAACUUUUGUUAUACCUUAUUUGCAUAUGAUGUUGCAAAGUGUAAACUGGCAGCUUAU